UGGAGUUACCACUUGGAAUGGUUGCUUUA
rnacentral:piRNA from 1 species